rnacentral:tRNA from 1 species
GCAGUGGUGGUUCACUGGUAAAAUUUUUGCCUUCCCUGCAGGAAGCUUGGGUUUGAUUCCCAGCCAACGCA